UUUUUGAUAAAGUCAAUGACCAGUUAAUAGUUUUUAUGAUUACUUAAUACCUUAAAGGUUUUUAAAAUACACUGAAGUCAAUAAACAUUAUUCCGUAUUCUCGCCUGGUAUUCAAACAGAAGAAGACAUAGAAGCAAUAUUUGAAGCAAGUUCUGUAUCCAAUAAUACUCAUAGUGAAGACCCUUUGACCAAGACAGAACAUAAAACCGAC
rnacentral:lncRNA from 1 species